GAAUAUUGGACAAUGGGCGAAAGCCUGAUCCAGCCAUGCCGCGUGUGUGAAGGAGGUCUUCGGAUUGUAAAGCACUUUAAGUUGGGAGGAAGGGCAGUAAGCGAAUACCUUGCUGUUUUGACGUUACCGACAGAAUAAGCACCGGCUAACUCUGUGCCAGCAGCCGCGGUAAUACGAAGGGUGCAAGCGUUACUCGGAAUUACUGGGCGUAAAGCGUGCGUAGGUGGUGGCUUAAGUCCGUUGUGAAAGCCCUGGGCUCAACCUGGGAACUGCAUCCAAAACUGGCGAGCUAGAGUAGGGCAGAGGGUGGUGGAAUUUCCUGUGUAGCGGUGAAAUGCGUAGAUAUAGGAAGGAACACCAGUGGCGAAGGCGACCACCUGGGCUCAUACUGACACUGAGGUGCGAAAGCGUGGGGAGCAAACAG
rnacentral:rRNA from 1 species